rnacentral:rRNA from 2 species
UACGUAGGGGGCCAGCGUUGCUCGGAAUUACUGGGCGUAAAGGGUCCGUAGGCGGUGUAGCAAGUCGAUAGUGAAAUCUCUGGGCUUAACCCAGAGGCUGCUAACGAAACUGCUGUGCUAGAGUGUGAGAGAGGCGAGUGGAAUUACGGGUGUAGCGGUGAAAUGCGUAGAUAUCCGUAGGAACAUCCGAGGCGAAGGCGGCUCGCUGGAUCACAACUGACGCUGAGGGACGAAAGCUAGGGGAGCAAACAGG